AGAGUUUGAUCCUGGCUCAGAAUAAACGCUGGCGGCGCGCCUAACACAUGCAAGUCGAGCGAGAAAGUUCCUUCGGGAAUGAGUACAGCGGCGGACGGUUGAGUAACACGUGAGAAUCUACCCUUUAGUGAAGGAUACCCUCGAGAAAUCGAGGUUAAUACUGCAUAAGCCCCCAAGGGGGGAAAGGCGGCCUCUUUGCUGUCGCUAAAGGAUGAGCUUGCGGCCUAUCAGCUAGUUGGUGAGGUAAAGGCUCACCAAGGCAAUGACGGGUAGCCGGCCUGAGAGGGUGUUCGGCCAGAUUGGAACUGAGAUACGGUCCAGACUCCUACGGGAGGCAGCAGUGAGGAAUAUUGCACAAUGGGCGAAAGCCUGAUGCAGCGACGCCGCGUGGAGGAUGAAGGUCUUCGGAUUGUAAACUUCUGUUAAGUGGAAAGAAAAUCCUGUCUUUAAUACAGACGGGAUAUGACGGUACCAUUAGAGAAAGCACCGGCUAACUUCGUGCCAGCAGCCGCGGUAAUACGAAGGGUGCAAGCGUUAUUCGGAAUUAUUGGGUGUAAAGGGUGCGUAGACGGUAUGUUAAGUCCGCUGUUAAAUUUUCCGGCCUAACCGGAAAUCUGCAGUAGAAACUGGCAUGCUAGAGGUUGGAAGAGAGAAGUGGAAUUCUCGGAGUAGCGGUAAAAUGCGUAGAUCUCGAGAGGAACACCAAUGGCGAAGGCAGCUUCUUGGUCCAUACCUGACGUUGAUGCACGAAAGCGUGGGGAGCAAACAGGAUUAGAUACCCUGGUAGUCC
rnacentral:rRNA from 1 species